GAACGACUUGGAAAAAUGGUCCUUGGCCAGACUCUUAAUCAGCGGGUCCUUGGUUCGAGCCCAAGUGCGUCCACCA
rnacentral:tRNA from 2 species